UAACAAUGUCCAAUGAGGUUAGUUCUUGUUUUUCUAAAACAUUUGUAAUCCACCGUUGUUUACGAGCGAAAUGACGUAUUACCUAUAACUAAGCGAAAUGACAUAUUACCGUACCUUGCAACGUACGCCAACGUAACGUAUAAACAAACACGUUUUAGAUCGCGCUCUAACCUUAAUUGACGGAUUUUCCCGCGGAGUUAGCACAUUGAUCGUCUUUGUCCUUCUGAAAUAACUUCAAUCAGCGCUUGAAAAAGCUUGAUAUGACGUUUAAAUAUACAAACGUAAACGUGAUAUCGAUAAUACCGAAAAAUAUCGAUAUUCCGAUAUAUUGAAAAUUCCAAUAUCGAGUAAUCGGUAUUUUGAUAAAAAAAGAUAGUUAUCGGUAUAUCGAUAUACCGCAACAGCCUAAAUUUGGAGGUCACCGAUGUCUUUUACAAGUUAAAUUAAUUAAAUUCAACCACCCACAAGUUCAGCGAAUCUACCAGCAUUUUGCCAAUGUGGUCAUAGUUAAUAGAGAUGUGGCAUAUAGCUAAAAAGAUUCGUGCAAAAUUUUGGCAAGUUCAUGGUAUAGUUCGGUUUUAAAUUUUUUUGCGAUUUACUGACGCACGACCCACGACGCACGACCCACCCACGCCAAAUAGACAAUCUCACAUAGACAUACGUCACAUACCUUUCGCCGAACAUAACUUCUCUUUCUCGAUGUGUCUUUCUUACUACAUUUCAAAAACUCAUUAAUAAUUCAUGAGGAAAACACAAAGAGAAAUCAUAAGCGUGGCGUGUCUUUAUAUGUGAUAAAACACGCUUCAAAUUUCAACUUGUAUUUUCUCAGCUAAUACAAAGUUAAUAUUUUGGAAAAUUAUUUCGCCAAUGCCGUGAUCUAACUGAGGCCCGUUUCAUACGUCGCGCUAUCGUCGAAUUUAAUUCAGACGAAUUUAAUUGAACGAAUUAAAUGCGACGGUAGUGCAUCGUAUGAAACGAAUUAAAUUCGUCUGAUGAAUUAAAUUCGUCCAAGACGUUGUAUCCGUCAUGGUCAGACGGAUACAACAUACAACGUCUGUAGCGCGUCUUCGUUUCAUACGUGUUAUCGUCGUGUCGAAUUAAAUGCAUAAAUUAUGUUAAAUCUGUUUCUCUCUUUCUGGUCUCGUGGUUUUUUACUUCUGGGUAAUCCAUGAUCGCUAGACAUGAAAUGAAUUCGUCUGAAUUAAAUUCGUCGUUUGAAACGAAACCAUUUUAGGCCUGUUUCAUACGUCGAAUUUAAUUCAGACGAAUUUAAUUCGUUAUUAAAUUCGUCAAUUGGUCGACAC